AGGUGAGGCCUGUGGGCAAAAUGAAGAUAACACAUUUUGUUUACUACAAACGUUGCCCCUUGAAUGCUGAUGUGCCUCCUGUGAGGUACUUGAUGGAGAUGUUACACUUACUAGAAACCAAUAUCCAGCUGCAUUUAAAUCACUGCAGAUGUAAGCCUGUGGGGCAGGAGCUCCAAGAUGAUGGCAAGUAAAGAAGAGCUCUCCUUUUAUUGAUAGAAAGGGAUUAGUGCUGCUGUAAAGAGAUUUAUUUACAAAGUCUGUCUACCCUGAAGCAGCUCUUAGGCAGGCUGUGCAUGAACUUGGAUUUGGUAACUGCAUGGUGCUUCCCUUGUAAUCUGUGUGGAUGAAAUGGGCACAAGAAAUAGGGAAAGCCAGGGAAACUGGACAUGUCACUGCUGUUAUUUAUGUGGCUUUGCCUGCAAGUUUAGAAGCUUACACAAACGGCAGUAAAAUUAUAUCCGUGUGUCUGA